CGAGUUUACCACUCCCAAACCCCUGUGAACAUACCUUAAUGUUGCCUCGGCGGAUCAGCCCGCGCCCCGUAAAACGGGACGGCCCGCCAGAGGACCCAAACUCUAAUGUUUCUUAUUGUAACUUCUGAGUAAAACAAACAAAUAAAUCAAAACUUUCAACAACGGAUCUCUUGGUUCUGGCAUCGAUGAAGAACGCAGCAAAAUGCGAUAAGUAAUGUGAAUUGCAGAAUUCAGUGAAUCAUCGAAUCUUUGAACGCACAUUGCGCCCGCUGGUAUUCCGGCGGGCAUGCCUGUUCGAGCGUCAUUUCAACCCUCAAGCCCCCGGGUUUGGUGUUGGGGAUCGGCUCUGCCUUCUGGCGGCGCCGCCCCCGAAAUACAUUGGCGGUCUCGCUGCAGCCUCCAUUGCGUAGUAGCUAACACCUCGCAACUGGAACGCGGCGCGGCCAUGCCGUAAAACCCCAACUUCUGAAUGUUGACCUCGGAUCAGGUA
rnacentral:rRNA from 1 species